CGCCACAGUGCUUUCCCCUCACAGUGCACAAUUUGCCAAUGAGUUCAAAGUGUCUCCGUAACUUCAUGCCAUUUCUUCUGCUAGAAGCCAAGCCAGUCUCCUCACCUGAAAAAUGGGAAGAGCAAAAUAUCCUACCCUAGAGGGUUGCUGUGAGAGCCGAAAGCGUCUAUCCACGUGAAGCACAUGGGACAGAGCCUGGCACAAAGAAAAUGCUUCCCAGCUCCAUCAGCCCACCGCCCCCUCUGGCCUUCCCUCAAGAGCAGCCACUGGGCCUUGGUUGCCAUGGAGACAGUUUCCCUCAGAGGCUUUGCCUCCCAUCUUCUUUUCUUUUCUUUUCUUUUUUCUUUUUUUUUAAUUUGAGACAAGAUCUCGCUUUGUCACCCGGCCU
rnacentral:lncRNA from 1 species